GACAAUUAAGUUUUUAGAACAUAAUAUUGAAGUUAUUAAAGAACUACCUCUUUAAG
rnacentral:tRNA from 1 species